rnacentral:rRNA from 1 species
AGAGUUUGAUCCUGGCUCAGGAUGAACGCUGGCGGCGUGCCUAACACAUGCAAGUCGAGCGGGAUCUUUCUAAAUGACGCUUCGGUUGAUUUUAGAAAGUGAGAGCGGCGGACGGGUGAGUAACGCGUAGGCAACCUGCCCUUUGCAGAGGGAUAGCCAUUGGAAACGAUGAUUAAAACCUCAUAAUGCCAGAAUGAGACAUCUCUAACUGGCCAAAGAUUUAUCGGCAAAGGAUGGGCCUGCGUCUGAUUAGCUAGUUGGUGGGGUAACGGCCUACCAAGGCGACGAUCAGUAGCCGACCUGAGAGGGUGAUCGGCCACAUUGGAACUGAGACACGGUCCAAACUCCUACGGGAGGCAGCAGUGGGGAAUAUUGCACAAUGGGCGAAAGCCUGAUGCAGCAACGCCGCGUGAAGGAAGAAGGUCUUCGGAUCGUAAACUUCUGUCCUUAGGGAAGAUAAUGACGGUACCUUUGGAGGAAGCCCCGGCUAACUACGUGCCAGCAGCCGCGGU